rnacentral:rRNA from 1 species
UACAGAGGUCUCAAGCGUUGUUCGGAUUCACUGGGCGUAAAGGGUGCGCAGGCGGCCGUGUGUGUGAGGCGUGAAAGCCUGGAGCUUAACUCCAGAAUUGCACCUCAAACUACAUGGCUAGAGCAUUGGAGAGGGUAGCAGAAUUCAUGGUGUAGCAGUGAAAUGCGUAGAUAUCAUGAGGAAUACCAGAGGCGAAGGCGGCUACCUGGACAAUUGCUGACGCUCCGGCACGAAAGCGUGGGGAGCAAAAGGG